GUGCCAGCCGCCGCGGUAAUACGUAGGUGGCAAGCGUUGUCCGGAUUUACUGGGCGUAAAGGGAGCGUAGGUGGAUAUUUAAGUGGGAUGUGAAAUACUCGGGCUUAACUUGAGUGCUGCAUCCCAAACUGGAUAUCUAGAGUGCAGGAGAGGAAAGUAGAAUUCCUAGUGUAGCGGUGAAAUGCGCAGGGAUUAGGAAGAAUACCAGUGGCGAAGGCGACUUUCGGGACUGUAACUGACACUGAGGCUAGAAGGCGUGGGGAGCAAACAGGAUUAGAUACCCUG
rnacentral:rRNA from 1 species